UACGAAGGGGGCGAGCGUUGUUCGGAAUUACUGGGCGUAAAGGGCGCGUAGGCGGCCGAUCAAGUUAGAUGUGAAAGUCCUGGGCUUAACCUGGGGACUGCAUUUGAUACUGAUUGGCUUGAAUUCGGGAGAGGAUAGCGGAAUUCCCAGUGUAGAGGUGAAAUUCGUAGAUAUUUGGGAAGAACACCGGUGGCGAAGGCGGCUAUCUGGACCGACAUUGACGCUGAGGCGCGAAAAGCG
rnacentral:rRNA from 1 species